rnacentral:lncRNA from 1 species
GAUGUGUCAAACACAAUGAGGAGGCACACACGUUUAUAUAGAGAACAUAAUCUAGGUCUGAGAUGGGUUGUGCACAAAGACCAAUAGCACCCUCAUUCAGCCUUGUAACCCGAGUAACCCAAGUAACCUGUAACCCGAGUAACCCAAGUAACCUGUAACCCGAGUAACCCAAGUAAUCUGUAACCCGAGUAACCCAAGUAACCUACAUUUAACCCUUAACUAUGCCUUAGUUAGUGUUAAAUGUCUUCUUGAUUAAC